UCUUCCGGUUCUGACAAUGUAUAUCGAAGGCUAAAUCUGCCUUUAUGAAUCAUGGAAUUUUUUGGAGCAAAGGAACUCAUUCUAGAAUAUAGCAACCACCCAAAGAUUCAUGGAAACAUCUUCAUGACUCAGAGAUGGAACUCGGGUUACCAGGCAGCAAACACCUUACCCACUGAGCCUCCAUGUUCUGCUUUGCUCAACUGACAGCACUCUACUCAGAGGUCCAGAAAUUCUCUAAGCCUGGCCAUUUCCCUGGGAUCGGCACAAAGCAGUAUCCACCAGGUGGAAAGGACCCUACCUCGUCAUCUUGACCACUCCAAUGGCUCUCAAAGAGGAUGGCAUCUCCACUUGGAUCCACCACACCCACGCCUGACCUGUGGUGUCUGCAGCUGAGGAACAUCCAGAUGGAACCUGAAGAGUGUCCAAACAUCCUACUGAUCCCUCGAAGUUAAAGCUACACCAAAGACCCUGAGAUGAAGCUUGCUCUGCUAAUCUGGUGCCUCCUGAUUCACCUGCUUGUCCCCCAGGGAGGGGCAAAACCCCAAACUAACCCCCAUGCACCUUGGAGCCUGACCUGGACCCUGACCAAUCCUGAGACUGGAUGAACUUUUAAAUUGGCCACUGAGACCCAUCCCUUAGGUAUUUGGUACCCCCAGUUAACCUUUGAUUUAUGUACCCUAGCAACGGACUCAUGGACAUCAGUUGAUACUCACCAGGUCUUCCCCAAACACGCCUACCCCACUUGUUGGUAUAGUAACUGGUGCAUCUGCCCAGGGGGUAAGUGAACUCGCCAGUGCAGGGGGCCUGAGGCAUAUUAUUGUGCUGCUUGGGGUUGUGAAACUAGUGCCUCUAGAUGGGGGACUAGCAAACAAGACCUGGUCUCCUUUACUUGUCCCUACUAUGGGGAGUCCACAAUUGCUAUUACCUUUAAUGAAGAAGGAAAAAAGUUUGAUUGGUUGACAGGCAAAAUUUGGGGGCUUCGACUAUACCUCCCAGGCAAAGGAGAUAUGGGGAUCCUAUUCUCUGUAAGGCUGGUUGCAAUGCCCCCUCUGAUCGUGGCAAUGGGGCCUAAUAAGAUAAUCAAUCCUAGCCUAACAGAGAGAAAACCUCUCUCUCCCUCUAAUUCCACCACACCCAUGGAUGCCCCUAACAUGUCAGUUACAUCUACACCUAAAGCACUGGGUGACUGGAACCAUGUCUGAAAGACCCUCGGGGCCCCCAGACCCCCUGUUUACAAUCUUGCAACAGUCAUUCUUACUCUUGACAGUCCAGACCAGAGCUGACCACCUCCUGUUGGCUGUGCUAUAGUGCAAAGCCACCCUAUUAUGAGGGAGUGGCUGUGUUGCCCCCCAAUGACAGCCCUGGGUGGCAGGAACAAAAGGAGGCUAUAGGGUCUUGCCGAUGGCAUUCAGAUAUUUCCCUGACCCUUGAACAAGUCUCAGGUCAGGGACUAUGUAUAGGAAUGGUGCCCCACCACUUCCUGCCUCUUUGUAAUCAUACCAAGUCUAUUGCCAGCCUAACCGGGUAUCCGGUCCCAGCAGAUGACACUUGGUGGGCAUGCUCCUCUGCGCCCUGCGCCCAUGUUACUGUGCUGAACCAAAUUGGAGGGGUCUGUGUCCUCAUACGCCUAGUUCCCUGAGUGGUUUUUCAUGCCGCAGAGGAGCUGUCUAGCCUCAAUGAAGCCACUCAGUACGCCCUCAGACAAAAAAGAGCCAGUCACAGCCCUUACCCUUGCUAUUUUAAUGGGCACUAGCAUAGCAGGAUUGGGGACAGGGGCGGCUUCCCUCAU